rnacentral:lncRNA from 1 species
GGCGUGACUCACUCACUUUCUAAACUUUUACGCUGUCAUUUACCAUAAUUCUCUUCUUUGAGUGUCUCUGUGUGGUGCCCUCAUUACUGGCAAUACUCUCCUUGUUUUCCCGAUUUAUGCAAUUAAAGGCCUAGCUGUGUGAGCAUUUCCCCAGUUUCAUUUACAAUGGUACCAAGCUGAAGACCAGAAUAAAGAUGUUCUCAGAGCAGAGACAGCAGAAGCCCCUCCACACUGAACGCCAAGCCGCUCCUCCAUGGGAUAUGAGUGGCAUAAGAGUUGGAAUGAGCUGUAGAGGCUGACCCUUUGGGAAGUUCAUCAAAGGCAGGAGACAAGGAGACAAGGAGACAAGGAGACAAGGAGACAAGGAGACUCACGGAGGCCCAGAUUUUCAGCUGUUCAACAAUGUCAAUAAGGUGACG